UCCGAGUUGACCCCGGCGUCUAGUGCAUGUCAAGCCCAGGUAAGGUUCUUCGCGUUGCAUCGAAUUAAUCCACAUGCUCCGCCGCUUGUGCGGGCCCCCGUCAAUUCCUUUGAGUUUUAGCCUUGCGGCCGUACUCCCCAGGCGGGGCGCUUAAUGCGUUAGCUACGGCACGGACAACGUGGAUGUCGCCCACACCUAGCGCCCAACGUUUACAGCGUGGACUAC
rnacentral:misc_RNA from 1 species